rnacentral:tRNA from 1 species
GGAAGAUGGCGCGCAGGGCGCAAAGCGGUCUUGAAAACCGUGCCGGUGGAAACGCCGAUGGUUCGAUUCCUUCAUCUUCCGCCA